rnacentral:rRNA from 1 species
GAUGAGCGCUGGCGGCGUGCCUAAUACAUGCAAGUCGAGCGAACGGACGAGAAGCUUGCUUCUCUGAUGUUAGCGGCGGACGGGUGAGUAACACGUGGAUAACCUACCUAUAAGACUGGGAUAACUUCGGGAAACCGGAGCUAAUACCGGAUAAUAUUUUGAACCGCAUGGUUCAAAAGUGAAAGACGGUCUUGCUGUCACUUAUAGAUGGAUCCGCGCUGCAUUAGAUAGUUGUUAAGGUAACGGCUUACCAAGGCAACGAUGCAUAGACGACCUGAGAGGGGGAUCGGCAACACUGGAACUGAGACACGGUCCAGACUCCUACGGGAGGCAGCAGUAGGGAAUCUUCCGCAAUGGGCGAAAGCCUGACGGAGCAACGCCGCGUGAGUGAUGAAGGUCUUCGGAUCGUAAAACUCUGUUAUUAGGGAAGAACAUAUGUGUAAGUAACUGUGCACAUCUUGACGGUACCUAAUCAGAAAGCCACGGCUAACUACGUG